rnacentral:rRNA from 1 species
UACGGAGGGUGCAAGCGUUGUUCGGAUUUAUUGGGCGUAAAGCGCGUGUAGGCGGUUUCUUAAGUCUGAUGUGAAAGCCCUGGGCUCAACCCAGGAAGUGCAUUGGAUACUGGGAGACUUGAAUACGGGAGAGGGUAGUGGAAUUCCUAGUGUAGGAGUGAAAUCCGUAGAUAUUAGGAGGAACACCGGUGGCGAAGGCGGCUACCUGGACUGAUAUUGACGCUGAGACGCGAAAGCGUGGGGAGCAAACAGG